AUUGAACGCUGGCGGCAUGCUUUACACAUGCAAGUCGAACGGCAGCACGGGGGCAACCCUGGUGGCGAGUGGCGAACGGGUGAGUAACACAUCGGAACAUAUCUUAAAGUGGGGAAUAACGCAUCGAAAGGUGUGCUAAUACUCCAUAUACUCUAGCGAGGAAAGCGGGGGAUCGAAAGACCUCGUGCUUUAAGAGUGGCCGAUGUCUGAUUAGCUAGUUGGUAAGGUAAAAGCUUACCAAGGCGACGAUCAGUAGCUGGUCUGAGAGGACGAUCAGCCACACUGGGACUGAGACACGGCCCAGACUCCUACGGGAGGCAGCAGUGGGGAAUUUUGGACAAUGGGCGAAAGCCUGAUCCAGCCAUGCCGCGUGAGUGAAGAAGGCCUCGGUUGUAAAGUCGUCUUUCGGUCGUAGAAGAAAUAGUCUAUGACUAAU
rnacentral:rRNA from 1 species